rnacentral:rRNA from 1 species
GGAGCGUUCUGUAAGCCUGCGAAGGUGUGCUGUGAGGCAUGCUGGAGGUAUCAGAAGUGCGAAUGCUGACAUAAGUAACGAUAAAGCGGGUGAAAAGCCCGCUCGCCGGAAGACCAAGGGUUCCUGUCCAACGUUAAUCGGGGCAGGGUGAGUCGACCCCUAAGGCGAGGCCGAAAGGCGUAGUCGAUGGGAAACAGGUUAAUAUUCCUGUACUUGGUGUUACUGCGAAGGGGGGACGGAGAAGGCUAUGUUGGCCGGGCGACGGUUGUCCCGGUUUAAGCGUGUAGGCUGGUUUUCCAGGCAAAUCCGGAAAAUCAAGGCUGAGGCGUGAUGACGAGGCACUACGGUGCUGAAGCAACAAAUGCCCUGCUUCCAGGAAAAGCCUCUAAGCAUCAGGUAACAUCAAAUCGUACCCCAAACCGACACAGGUGGUCAGGUAGAGAAUACCAAGGCGCUUGAGAGAACUCGGGUGAAGGAACUAGGCAAAAUGGUGCCGUAACUUCGGGAGAAGGCACGCUGAUAUGUAGGUGAAGUCCCUUGCGGAUGGAGCUGAAAUCAGUCGAAGAUAC